UUUUUUUUUUUGGUCAUUUUAACGUUACUUUUAGGGCUUGUAUCCAUUUAAAGAAUGAGUUGCUUUUAUUGUGUAAUUUUUUGGAAGGAGUUCAAAAUGGGAGCUGAGAUCAGGGUUCUGAUUUCUUUUUCCUACUUUUUACUACUUGAUAAAAAGCAAAUAUCCUGGCCUUCCCUUCAGCACAGAUCGUGCAAAUGGCUGAAAUGUGGAUGAUGAAAUCUCAGAACAUGCAGGAGGGACAGCCCCAAUCUGCUCUUGAUAAAGCCUGUGGGAGGCUUGCUGGUGAAAAAGCACAUCCUGUUCUCAGUGACAUUGUUGCUGUGACAGUUGAAAUGACUUUGGAACUCAUUUUAGAGAAUGGCCUUUCCCAUGCAGAGUCUUUGCUCAUCCCUGUAAUGGCUCCAGUGCCUGUCCCUGCUCAGCCCCUGGAACAGCCAGGAUUUGGGAAGAGGGGCUUGGAGUGCCAGGAGCUGCACUCCUGUGGAUGGUUUGUUAAGAGAAGAUCUCCUGGAAAUAAUUUCCAACAUCUUUCAACUGCUAUAAACUUCCUCAGGUGUAGAACAUGGGGUUCAGGCUAAUAAACUGCCUGGGAAAGAGAGAGCUGAGGAAAUAAUCUUCAAACAAAUCUUCUGGUACAGGGAACAGACUCUGAGCCCAGGUGAGCUGGUGGCUGGCUUAACUUCUGCUUUCAAACCUUUUUAAAUUACCCAAAUUUUACAACCUCCUGUCCAUCUUUUCUUGUUUAAAGUUAUGAUAUAACUACUAAAAUAACUUCCCUGAUGUGCAAAAUUUCAUUGCUAGGAAGCGUUGUCAUUGUCAGGCCGAAAGUUCUCACAUUUUGCUCUCUAAAUUCCUUGUGCUUAUUUGCAGUGCUUGCAAGAUUAAUGUGGGUGGAAAUAAAAUCUUCAGCUUGGUUGUAGGUAAACAAAUAUCUCCCAUGCAGGAAGAUGUUUAAUAAGAGAUUGGUUGGAAAUUAAUCUUCCCUUUUGUGCUGUAGCCAAAAGUGGGAAAACUCAAGCUGGAUGUAUAAAUGGUUUUCAUGUAGCUCUUUUCAAAUGACUUUUUUUGAAUUUUCAUGGAAUCACAGAGUGGUUUUGGCUGGAAGGGAGCUUAAAAACCUUUUCCUUCCACCCUUCCAUGGCAGGGACACCUCCCACUGUCCCAGGCUGCUCCAAGCCCUGUCCAGCCUGGCCUUGGGCACUGCCAGGGAUGAGAAGUCCACAACCUCUCUGGAAUUGUGCCUUGUGUGGGGUUGAGAUGGAAAUGGGGAAAAAAAAAACCCCACAUUUUCCAUUUUGAUGGAGCACAGCAUUUUAAACUUCAAUUUCCCGUUCAAUAUUAAGCAACCUGAAGAGAUUUUUCAGUUUUCAAGCUGUAAAGCUUCAUAGCCAAUAUGCAGAGACCUCCUAGAUCAAAAAACCAUCCUAAAUCAUUGCUAAAUCAAACAGAUUAGAGUUUUUUCUCUGCUUGUAGGCAGCAGGAUGGAUAGAGCCAAUAACCUGCUUUCUGUGGAAUAUUUUUUGUUUUCAUUGUUAAUAGGUGUUGAAGCAAUUUCAGCUGUUUGCUGCUGUCUGAUUAAGAACUGCUUAGAUCAGGGAAUAGGCUGAAGGUUUAAGGACUGGCUCAGCCAUGACACCAUUGCCCAGGCCAAAGGCAAGGCAAAUUAACUGACAAUAAUGCUAAACAACAUUCAGACUUAGGAAUAUUAUUGUUGCUAAGCCAGCUUGAAUUUUACAAAGAAUUUUUUAGGCCUGGUUAUCAAGAACCUGUUUUCAUGGAAAAAUCUUUGAAAUUAGACCAUAACUUGGAUUUAAAGGGUACUGGAGAUCAUCCUGAUGUUUUACAAACUGUGUGAAAGAGAAGAUUUAAUGUUCUUAGGAGUUUCAAAUGUUGUUCACUUCAUCAAAAACCAAUACAGGAAUGUGAUGGUUACCCUUUAUUUUUUUCUGAAUUGCACUGGGGACAUGAAGUAUCUUUUCAUAAUUUACCAGACAUUUUUAAUGUACAGCACUUCAAAAGACAGUGUUUUAUAGUUAUCUGCAAUUCCCUUCUGCAGUACAAAUUAAAACUCGCCGAACUUGCUUGGAAAAGCAUCACCACAUAAACAUUUCUUAUGCUUCAUGAUGUCUGUUUGGAAAGUCAAAAUAGCUUCCUAGAGAAUAUUUUUCAUGUUAAUCUUUCUACCUGAAUUUAUCUGGCAGUGUAAUUCUGUGAAAGUUGAUGAGUUUGCUUAUGUAACUUAUGUGUACAAUGCUUUGAAUAUCCCAAUCAUCUCCAAGUAAACCAUUUUCCUUUCUCUUCCCUCAAGCAUUUUCUACUGAACCUGGAAAAAUUGGGAUGUUUGACUCCUACAUUAACAUCCCCGGUGUUUACAUCGUUCCUACAAUGCAAAGCUGCACAAGUGAGGACUGGGAGGCAGCACCAGGAACAGGCUUAUGGCACAGCAUGUGGGGAGUGCUUAGAAAAUCACACCAGACAGACAAUUUACAGCAGUGGGGGUUAUUUUUCACUCCAAGACUUUGAUCUGGCUGCAGGGUGUUUAUCAGGACUGCUUUGCAUGACAUCUUCGUUUUAUAAGGCAGCUGAAGAAUGAUGGGGCUGCUUUCCUGACAAUUUUCUAAACAAAGCAGAAUGCUUGCUGCUCAACAAAAGCUUUUCUUUUCUUCCAUUUAGUCAAAUAUCAGAACAAGAAAUAACUGCAGAGUUUUAUUAGUUGCAGAUUACUUGCCCAGACAGCUGUGCUCUCAGCAUGUCAUCAAAAAAAACCUGCUCUCAGAAGCCAAAGCAGCCUUAGAAGCUGAUCAAUUUAAACACAGAGCAAAAGUUGUGGCUCACCCCGAGGUAUUAAGGGUGUUAAAUGCUCUGCCAAGGCACAGGGCCAUCACUGUCACAGCUCUGCAGAGAUCCCUGCUCCUGUUGGGGUUCUGUUCCUGCAGGCUGGGAAGGCAGAAAGCAGCUAAGGACAGUGGUGUUUGUUAACAGCUCACCCAGGGAGGGAGGGUGGCCAGGGCCUGGUGUCCUUUCCAGGUAAAAUCUAUUGGGAAGGAGGGGGAAGAGCUCCACUGGGAAAACUCUGAAUCCCUGGUGGCAUCUCCUUUGCACUCUUCCUCCAGAGCAGGCAGCAGGGCCAGCUGGGAGCAGCCUGGGCUGUGGAAGGUGUCCCUGCCAUGGCAGGGGUGGGACAGGAUGAGCUUCAGGUCCCUUCCAACCCAAACCACUCCGGAUUCUGUGGAUAAAGGUUUUGGAAAGGCUAAAAGGGCUCAGGAAGUUUCUCUUCUUUUGGGAGACUCAGUUCUAUUCCCAGCAUUGUUGCCUGUGCUGUUGUUGUGUGACCUGUCCUCAAAGGGACACAGACCUUCACUUAAAACACCUUUAAAAAAAUGUCUGAUUUCCUAAAUUGCCUCUGUGAGAACAGAAAUAAACAAAGGAAGGGAACUAAGCUUUGUGAGGCUUGGCAUGAGCUUUAGCUGAGAAUGUUCUCUCUGUCAAUUUGGAGUGAUUUUCAAAAGCACAGUAAGAUUUCACAGUGUUGGACAGGAGGAUUUGAGUCAAAAUGAGACAUUAAAUUGGGAUAUAGGCACAAGCGUAAAUUAGGUGUAACAAGGAAACAUUCUCAGGUUUUUUUUUUUUUUUCCUGACAGGAAUAGCAUACACAGGAGCUGGAUGCCUGUUCCUGGCAGCAUUUAUUUUUUUUAUGGUGAGGAUAAAUUGGACAUGAGUGAAUCCUCCUCUGGCAGAAUUUUUGUUUCCAAGUGUCCUGCAGCUCAGGAUGCAGAGCACGAGCUGGGUGGUGGUGCCCAUUUCACUCCUGCCAGUGACUCUUUCCAGCACUUCAACAAGUGCUGGAGGAAAAACAUGCUGAAAAUUCUAAUUAUCCUGCUUGGUGCUAUUGCUAUUUCUUCUUAAUUAAAAAAAAAAAAAGGUUAAUGUCUCCUUUUGGUGGCAUCCACUCAAUAUUUGACUCUUCAUUUUGAUUCAAAUUCCAUUGCCUUAUAAUUUACAACUCAACUAAACAUUUCUUUUCAUGAAUGACACCCAAGGCUUUGUGCCUGCAAGUAUCACUGCAUGAAGUGGGUUAUUUAAAGCAAAAAUCUGUUUGCUUCCAAGAGAAGAACAAUGCUCUGAGUGUGAAUGAUGUGUCAAAACGUCAACCAAAUUGUCACCUGAAUGUGGCAGCUGCUCCAUUCUGAGGUUCACAUUAAAUGAAGAUAACUGAGGAGUGUUGUAGGUGGCUUUGUUUGUUUUGCUUAGUGAAGAUAUUGGUUUGAUUAGAAAUGCUUUUUCAGGAAUCCUCUUUGACAGCAAACAACCAAAUGGUUUUACCUGGGUUUUUUGAAUAAACUCCUGCUGCCAAACUCUUCUCUGCAAAGUAUUGUUGUGGGUGUUGGGCACCACUGAGACCUGACCCAGAUUCCUCCCACACUCUGCUGUGCUCUGUGUUCUCCAACCAGCCUGGCUCCCUCUCCUUCCAGCAGUGCUGAUCAGGAACUUCACAAAAAAAGUGAAAUCUGGCACUUGGCAGAGCCAGAAGGAAACAUCUGGAUGCUUUUGAUCAAAGAUGCUUGAGGAAAAUGAGACUGCAGAGCAUCAAGAAUGGCACAGUUUGAGAAAAAGAAAGAAAGAAUGAAACUCUCCUCAUCAGAAGUUGGGAUGUGAUUUCUGUGGUUUCCUGAGCACACAGAAGAGUGGAGAGGACCUUCUUUGCCCAUUUGCUAGAGAACAGUUGAUACUACAUUUGACAAUCCUGUAAUCCAAUUUAUAUCCAGCUUGCUGCUGGCCACCUGUGAGCAAUUUUAUUCUGUGGCUUUUUGUUUUAAUCUUGAGAGCAUCAUUUGUCUGUGGAAGAUGAUUCCCUUGGACUGCCUCAGGAUCUUGGGCCCACCACAACAGCUGGGUGCUUAAUUCAGACACUUGGAGAUACUGAAUCCUGAUUUUUGGUAGGAGUUUCAGUCUGUGGGAUGAAUCCUACACUCAGAAAUUUGCUUUUCAUGCUGUGGUGUUUGCUGCCAUUGUCCUGUGAAGGUGAAGUUGUGCAAAAUGAAAUGUAAAGGAACCUGACUGGCUGACUGCUCCUUUAGGCAGUAAAAUCAAACAGUCCUUAGCUGCUGGUAAUGGUAUCAGCAGUGAUUUCUUCAUUUAAUAACCCAGACAAAAUGAUUUUACUGUUUAAAUUUCCUUUUGGGGGGUUUGGGAAGGGAUGGUUGUCCCCUGUAAUGUGAUCCUGCUCCUCUGAUCUCCCACUCAGGUAUUCACAUUUUUUCCUUUUGUUCAGUGAGUAUCCCAGGCCCUGGUGCAAAGGCCAGGGAUGCUGGGGGGGUUCUGCUCUGGCUCUUUUUCAUCAGAUUCCAACAUUUCUGUUGCUUCUGCCUGCUCAGGGCUGGGCUGAGGUUGUUGUAGGGGCAGGGGAUGGAGGGAGGUGCUGAGCUACCCCAGCAGGCUCCAUGGAAUAUCAGCUUUAUCAUUCCUGCUUGGCCACACAGCUCCUCUAGUGUGCCCUGCUAGCCAAAAACGCUCCUUAUUGAGAUGUAAAGUGCUGGAUUUCUUUCAUGGCCAAGUACAUCUGUCAGGGUUCUGUUCUGGCCUGUGGAGGUGACAUUUUGCUUUCUGAAAGCUGAGAUUUGUGGCCAGUAUGUAACACUGAAUUUUCUGUGUCUGACCUGAUCCUGUGCACAAAUUCUCUUCUCUCUGUGCAUCUGUGUAUAACAGAAAUGGGGAGAUUUCAGAGUAAGGCUUUUUUAAAGUGUUUUAUAUUCAGAUUUAAUAGCUGGAAUGUAGUGAGGUGUCUGAGCCAGUUGAUAAAAUUAAACUUUAAUAGUGCUAUUUGAGCAGAAAUCUAAAUUCUACUCUCUUACCCCAUGCACUGUUGAAGGGUUGAUGUUGUGUUUAUGUCCAGGUAGCACCUAAAGCAGAGGUGAAAAGCUGUGCUUGGACUUUCCUGGAAUGAGAUUAUGUUUAGGAGUGCUUAAUUAAUUACAGAAGGGAAAUUUGCAUGUGCAUUUCUUUAGAUCAGUGAUGCACAUUUUCAUGGUGCAUUUUGUGUGUUGAGAUGGAAGUUGAGACUCCUUUUUGUGAAAAGAAAAUGAAAUAAAAGGAAAGAACGUGACCUGAAUUAAAUAGGUCUAUUCUUAUCUUGAAUGAUAAAAAGAACAGGGACUGGUUGAAAUUCUGCCCUGACACAAAAAUUCCCCACAGGCAGACAGUGAAACCUGAAAGCCCUGCUCCUGAAAAAAAAAAUAAAUGGAAUAUCCUGAGUUGGAAGGGACUCACAGGAUCAUUGAGUCAAGCUCCUGAACCUGCCCAGGAUAUCCCCAAAAAUCCUGAGAAUGCAGAGACUCCUGAGCCUGAGAACACUGUCCAAAUGCUUCUCGAGUCUAAUUCCAGCCCUUUCCAUCCUCCACAGUGCAAAGCCUCCAAAUAAAGAGCAAAAGGAAGCAAAUCAAAGUGUAAAGCUCAUUUUACAGCAAAGACAGAGACCUGAGCAUGUUCUGUAGUUUCUGAUUUCCUGGGUCUAACCUCCCAAACUGCCCUUAAAUGACCCAAAUAUGAUCAAUUUAAAAUGUGCUCCAAAAGUCAGAUAUCUGGGAGGAAAUUUUCCACUUUUUAUUUCACCAGUGCUGCAGGAUGCUGCCUGAGAAUAAUGCACAACCUCUCUCCUGGCUGCACAGAAGGGUGAGGAGAGGACAAAACCUGCACCUGGCUCUUCAGCAGCAUGAGGCACCUGGGCACAGAUUUUCUAUCUAUUCCUUCAAAGAAAGGGACUCCUUCACCGAAGCCUUGAAUGUCAUUAAACCCUUCCUCAACUGCAAUACCUUAAAGUGUUAAAGGAAGAGAACAGAAAAAGAGGAGGUUGUUCUGCAACUGUUUGGUUGAAAAGGAAGAUGGAAAUACUGAGUCGGGCUUUGAGGAUUCAAGAAUAAAAUAUUGAAUGAAUGAGACUCCUCCAAAUGGCUUCUGAUGUUGAAGGUGUAGUCAACCAUAAAAGCUGUGCCCAGAACUUCCCAGAGCAUUUAAUUUUGAGGAAAGGAGGUCUAGGAAAAAAGGAGUAUUUCUUCCCUCUGUAGAAGCAAAGUCUUGAGUGCAUUUUCAAGAGAAAACAAGUUGCACAACAUCAGUGCAACAAUUCACAAUCAACAGGAGAUUCUGGAGAUGCUCCUUUUUGUAAAUUCAGCAGCACCACAGGGGGAGAAGUGCUGAGCCUUUGAAAACUAAAAAUCCCUGCCUCUGAAGGCAUGUUAGCAGCAUGGGUUCAGCAAUUUUAAUAACCACCUUUGCUUGGAAACUUGCUGUUGGUGUGAUUUGCUGACAUGACUGCCAUGAAAACCUUUAUAAAUUGGGUCCUGGAAGACUGGCAGAUGGAAUUGCAGAGCCCCCAUGCUGGAUUUGAAACAAUACUUAUUGCAUCCACACACAAGUGUGGCUAUACAGCACUUAAAAAUCAUCUCUAAUCCAAUUCCUGCCCAUGGCCUCCAUUUUAAAUGUUUUUGGGUUUUUUUUCUGUAGGUGUCACUAGAGCAUAGCAGAUAGAAACCACUUUCCUUAAUGAAAAUGUAGAAUCCCCACAGAUCUGAAGGAAACUGUAAUCUGGUUUUCUGUGCCAUGGUUGUCAUAUCAACAAUGAGGUUUCUCAGCAACUAACAGAAUAUUUUAUAGAUUUAUUUACUUAUACUUUUUAAUAAUGAACUUGAUACAAGAGAAUUUUUUCCCCUUUAUAAUUAUAUAGCAAUUGAGAAAGUCUUCCCAAAUAAUUUACAUUUUGUUGUCAUAUUAAUACCAACAGUUAAAAUGAAUCUUGUUAAUAAAAGGGAAGCUGAUAGGAUUCAUGAAUGCACCAGAAUGUAGCCAUUUCAUCUUGCAAAACUUUUUGUAUUUCUACUUAACUGAUUGCUGAAAGAAUAAUUUGUGUAUAUGGAUUUGAUGGUGUUGAUUUUCAGGGCUGCUCAGGAUGUAAACUUGGUGUGUGUUGUUCUCUCUGCUUGCAUAAUUUUUGAAAGUAUUGAAGAGAGUUUGCUUUUUAAAUUAGGGUUGAAGGAAAUGCCUUGAAACCUGCUUUUUAUUGUCAGUAUUAAUCAUACAAUCCUGGAAUGGUUUGGGAUGGAAGAACCCUUAAAGCUCAUCCCAUUCCACCUCCCCACCUUCCACUCUCCCAGGUUGCUCCAAGCCCCUGUCCAACCUGGUUUUGGACACCAACACACUCCAUCCUAAAUAGAAAUUCCCAAAGGAGCAAAUUGCUGCUAGUCCAGUGGUUAAGGCCCAGCUUUAGUCCUUGCUUUCAAAAAGAAUUGGGAAUUUUGCACUCUGUCCUUAUGGCACAUUAAUUUGGCACCAUUUUUCCUCCCUGCUCUGCAGGAUGCUCUCUUGGGUGGCAGCAUCAGCAGCAGGGAAUGAUGUGGUCUGGAAUUCUCUGCAGGAAGAUUGUCUCCCCCUGUUUCCCCUUCCCUGGAGGAUUGUUUUAAUUGUUGAGCCAUUAUCUGAUACUCUGGCAAUCAUUUAAAGCCAAUCCACUUGCUCCUGUCUGGUAGCUGUGCUUGGAACUCUUGGGGUCUCCAGGGUGUGAGGAGCCUCUGUACUUAAUUAGAGAACUGGGAUUUAUUAAUCUGCUCCUUAAGCUGGGAUCCUUCAGCUGCAACUCUAAAAUCUUCCAGGCAAAAGGGAAGACUCGGUGAAUUUCUCACCUAGGCAACGAGUGAGAAUGUGGGUGGGUUUUUUUGGAUGGUGAUUUUGAUUUAAGCUCUAAAAAUCUGUGCAAAGCCUUUGGGAGUUUGGCUUGGUGUGCAUUCCUAAUGGAUCAAAUUGCUGGAGAUGCUGAGGGAUCACGUUUCCUCAGGGGCUUAAAUAGGAGCUGGAAGCCAAGUUCUGCCCUUUGGCCUCUCAGGGAGUAGGUGUGUUGCAGAGACAUUUCUUGCACUCAAACUGUCUUGGAUUUCCACUCUGUUCAAAUGACUGUGUAAUUUAUACCACACCUCCUAAUAAACUCUCCCUCUGCUUCCUUGGAGAAUACAGCACUUGAAGUUAAUUAAAUAGAGGAGCUCUGUGAAGCUCAGAGAAACUGGAACAGCUCUGAUUGUCUGACUGUAGGAGAUCAUCUCAAAGAGGUGUUUGGGCACUUAUUAGCAAA